AUGGCGGAGAUCUGCUCGCCGUACCCGACCUCCGGCGGCCUCUACUACUGGAGCACCAAGCUCGCCGGCAGGGAGUGGGCGUCCGUCGCCUCCUGGGUCACCGGCUGGUUCAACAUCGUCGGACAGUGGGCGACGGCCACCAGCGUGGACUUCUCGCUGGCCCAGCUCAUCCAGGUGAUCAUCUUGCUGGCCACCGGCGGCACCAACAGCGGCGGCUACCUCGCGUCCAAGUACGUCGUGCUGGCGAUCUACGGCUUCAUCCUCAUCCUCCAUGGCCUCAUCAACAGCCUCCCCAUCCACUGGCUCUCAUGGUUUGGGCAGCUCGGCGCUUUCUGGAACGCUGCAGGUGUGUUUGUGCUGGUGAUCUUGAUUCCGUCUGUUGCCAAGGAGCGAUCGAGUGCCGAGUUCAUCUUCACGCACCUCAACACGGACAAUGGCAUGGGCAUUCAUAAUAAAGCUUACAUUCUAGGCGUGGGGCUGUUGAUGAGCAACUACUGCAUGAUCGGCUACGAUACAUCUGCUCAUAUGACAGAAGAAACGAAGAACGCUGAUAGGAGCGGUCCGAUUGGGAUUGUCACUUCGGUCGUUCUCUCAAACAUCUUUGGGUGGAUUUACCUAGUGACCCUGACUUCAGUUGUGACAGACAUCCCGUACCUGCUAAGUGCCGAUAAUGACGCAGGCGGCUAUGCCAUCGCUCAGGCUCUCUACACCAUAUUCAACCAGAGGUAUGGCAGUGGUGUUGGUGGGCUCGUGUGCCUCGGCGUCAUUGCUGUCGCCAUGUUCCUCUGCGGUGUUGCGUGCAUAACGAGCAACUCAAGGAUGGGGUAUGCCUUCUCAAGGGACGGAGCCAUGCCGUACUCGCACCUUUGGCACCGGGUGAACAAGCACGAGGUGCCAUUGAACAUUGUCUGGCUCUCCGUGCUCGUGGCCUUCGCCAUGGCUCUCACGUCAUUGGGGAGUCAGGUAGCAUUCCAGGCGAUGGUAUCCAUUGCGACACUAGGGUUGUACAUCUCCUACGCGCUGCCCAUCUUCUUCCGGGUGACGACCGCCCGAAAGUCAUUCGUCCGAGGGCCGUUUCACCUCGGUAGGUACGGUGUGAUCAUCGGCUGGGCUGCCGUGCUGUGGGUGGCCUUCAUCACCGUGCUAUUCUCGCUGCCGGUAGCAUACCCUGUGGGAAAGGACGUCUUCAACUACACGCCGGUUGCCGUUGGCGGGGUGUUGUUGCUCAGCGUUGGCUCUUGGGUCUUCCAUGCUCGGUUCUGGUUCAAGGGACCCAUCGUGAACGUUGACACAUACUAG
rnacentral:rRNA from 1 species